rnacentral:tRNA from 1 species
GAAUCAGUAGCUCAAUUGGUAGAGCAGCGCCCUUUUAAGGCGCGGGUUGAAGGUUCGAGUCCUUCCUGGUUCA